rnacentral:rRNA from 1 species
UACAGAGGUCUCAAGCGUUGUUCGGAUUCAUUGGGCGUAAAGGGUGCGUAGGUGGCGCGUUAAGUCAGGUGUGAAAUUUCGGAGCUUAACUCCGAAACUGCAUUUGAUACUGGCGUGCUUGAGGACUGGAGAGGAGACUGGAAUUCAUGGUGUAGCAGUGAAAUGCGUAGAGAUCAUGAGGAAGACCAGUGGCGAAGGCGGGUCUCUGGACAGUUCCUGACGCUGAGGCGCGAAAGCGUGGGGAGCGAACAGG